CAGUGGAUACAUCAUCCUCAGAAGGAAUUACAAGAUCAACGUCUUCUUGAAAAUCAAUGGUACCCAAACUCUCAGGGAGACUGGAUAUUUUCUGAGGUAAGGACGCAAUAGUUCUAAAACCAGGUGUCUCGAGAUCAUUUGACUGAGCUUUAGCAUCAAGAGGUGACGUCAAAACCAGUUCUAUACUAUUUUCAUUCAUAGCAGAUUCUUCGGCGACAGGUAUCACUUGCUCUUUUUCAAGAGGAAAUUCAGAAGUAGGUGUUUCUAAUAGCCUGCAAAUCUCUUUAUUGACCUUUUCUGAAACAGCAAGAGCAUUUUUAGUUUCAAGAGAAAAAACAGUUAUUGUGUCGGAUUUGUUUUUCAUGGGAAUAUCAGAAUCUCCAUUUUCAUCUGCCAAUGAUUUUUCAACAUUAUCAGCUGCAACAAGAAUAUUUUUAACCUCGACAUUAUCGCUGUGUUUUCCUUUCUUUUUCUUCUUACGACGUUUACUUCUGUCAUUAUUGACUAAAGGAGCGGUGGAUACAUCAUCCUCAGAAGGAAUUACAAGAUCAACGUCUUCUUGAAAACCAAUGGUACCCAAACUCUCAGGGAGACUGGAUAUUUUCUGAGGUAAGGACGCAAUAGUUCUAAAACCAGGUGUCUCGAGAUCAUUUGACUGAGCUUUAGCAUCAAGAGGUGACGUCAAAACCAGUUUUAUACUAUUUUCAUUCAUAGCAGAUUCUUCGGCGACAGGUAUCACUUGCUCUUUCUCAAGAGGAAAUUCAGAAGUAGGUGUUUCUAAUUGCCUGCAAAUCUCUUUAUUGACCUUUUCUGAAAUAGCAAGAGCAUUUUUAGUUUCAAGAGAAGAAACAGUUAUUGUGUCGGAUUUGUUUUUAAUGGGAAUAUCAGAAUCUC
rnacentral:lncRNA from 1 species